CGCGGUCCUCGGUAGUGAUCCCCGGGAGCAACCUUCUGCGAUGAAGGCACAGCCCGUGGGUCUCGAUCGAUGACCGGG
rfam:Arthrobacter sp. Hiyo1 DNA, contig: contig00215.